CUGGCCUACAUCAACUCGGCCAAGCACACAAACAGCCGAAUUCUGCGUUGGAGUCUGACACUUAUGGAGUACGACUUCACGGUGGAAUACAUCAAAGGAAGUGACAACGUCGGAGCUGACUACAUGAGCCGAGUGUAGACUUGAAACAGUAUUCGCUCGAACUG
rnacentral:lncRNA from 1 species